AACGCUAGCUACAGGCUUAACACAUGCAAGUCGAGGGGAAACGACAUUGAAAGCUUGCUUUUGAUGGGCGUCGACCGGCGCACGGGUGAGUAACGCGUAUCCAACCUGCCCACCACUUGGGGAUAACCUUGCGAAAGUAAGACUAAUACCCAAUGACGUCUCUAGAAGACAUCUGAAGGAGAUUAAAGAUUUAUCGGUGAUGGAUGGGGAUGCGUCUGAUUAGCUUGUUGGCGGGGUAACGGCCCGCCAAGGCAACGAUCAGUAGGGGUUCUGAGAGGAAGGUCCCCCACAUUGGAACUGAGACACGGUCCAAACUCCUACGGGAGGCAGCAGUGAGGAAUAUUGGUCAAUGGGCGGAAGCCUGAACCAGCCAAGUAGCGUGCAGGAUGACGGCCCUAUGGGUUGUAAACUGCUUUUAUACAGGAAUAAAGUUAGCCACGUGUGGUUAUUUGUAGGUACUGUAUGAAUAAGGACCGGCUAAUUCCGUGCCAGCAGCCGCGGUAAUACGGAAGGUCCAGGCGUUAUCCGGAUUUAUUGGGUUUAAAGGGAGCGUAGGCCGUCUGUUAAGCGUGUUGUGAAAUGUAGAUGCUCAACAUCUGAAUUGCAGCGCGAACUGGCAGACUUGAGUGUGCGCAACGUAGGCGGAAUUCGUGGUGUAGCGGUGAAAUGCUUAGAUAUCACGAAGAACUCCGAUUG
rnacentral:rRNA from 1 species